rnacentral:rRNA from 1 species
UAUCCUUCAUUCGGAAGCCUUGACGCGUCGACUAUAAAAUAAAGCGUCCAGUCCGUGGAUCACGGGCGACGCCCCUGAGAUGCGGGAACUCCUUCAGGAGUACCUGCAGUCGAGAAGAAAUUCUCGGCUCACAGAUCAGCCAGUGGCGGUUAGAAACUCUCGUGGGUACUCUAAUCAAGAUAUGACCGGUCCCCGUCGCGCAGACGGUGGAAAUCACGUUCCGUAGGUGAACCUGCGGAAGGAUCAUUACUGAG